CCUACGGGAGGCAGCAGUGGGGAAUAUUGCACAAUGGGGGGAACCCUGAUGCAGCGACGCCGCGUGAGCGAUGAAGGAAUUCGUUUCGUAAAGCUCUGUCCUUGGAGAAGAUAAUGACGGUAACCAAGGAGGAAGCACCGGCUAAAUACGUGCCAGCAGCCGCGGUAAUACGUAUGGUGCGAGCGUUGUCCGGAAUUAUUGGGCGUAAAGGGUACGUAGGCGGUUAAACAAGUCAGAUGUAAAAACUUGAGGCUCAACCUCAUGUAGCAUUUGAAACUGUAUAACUUGAGUAGUGGAGAGGAAAGUGGAAUUCCUAGUGUAGCGGUGAAAUGCGUAGAUAUUAGGAGGAAUACCAGUAGCGAAGGCGACUUUCUGGACACAAACUGACGCUGAGGUACGAAAGCGUGGGGAGCAAACAGGAUUAGAUACCCUGGUAGUC
rnacentral:rRNA from 1 species